AGUGAACGCUGGCGGUAGGCCUAACACAUGCAAGUCGAACGGCAGCACAGUAAGAGCUUGCUCUUACGGGUGGCGAGUGGCGGACGGGUGAGGAAUACAUCGGAAUCUACUUUUUCGUGGGGGAUAACGUAGGGAAACUUACGCUAAUACCGCAUACGACCUACGGGUGAAAGCAGGGGAUCUUCGGACCUUGCGCGAUUGAAUGAGCCGAUGUCGGAUUAGCUAGUUGGCGGGGUAAAGGCCCACCAAGGCGACGAUCCGUAGCUGGUCUGAGAGGAUGAUAAGCGACACUGGAACUGAGACACGGUCCAGACUCCUACGGGAGGCAGCAGUGGGGAAUAUUGGACAAUGGGCGCAAGCCUGAUCCAGCCAUACCGCGUGGGUGAAGAAGGCCUUCGGGUUGUAAAGCCCUUUUGUUGGGAAAGAAAAGCAGCAGGUUAAUACCCCGCUGUUCUGACGGUACCCAAAGAAUAAGCACCGGCUAACUUCGUG
rnacentral:rRNA from 1 species